GGAGGGUGGUGAGCACAGUGCAGGGAUGAAGGAGGUGGUGAGCACAGUGCAGGGAUGAAGGAGGGUGGUGAGCACAGUGCAGGGAUGAAGGAGGUGGUGAGCACAGUGCAGGGAUGAAGGAGGGUGGUGAGCACAGUGCAGGGAUGAAGGAGGUGGUGAGCACAGUGCAGGGAUGAAGGAGGGUGGUGAGCACAGUGCAGGGAUGAAGGAGGUGGUGAGCACAGUGCAGGGAUGAAGGAGGUGGUGAGCACAGUGCAGGGAUGAAGGAGGUGGUGAGCACAGUGCAGGGAUGAAGGAGGGUGGUGAGCACAGUGCAGGGAUGAAGGAGGUGGUGAGCACAGUGCAGGGAUGGAGGAGGGUGGUGAGCACAGUGCAGGGAUGAAGGAGGUGGUGAGCACAGUGCAGGGAUGAAGGAGGUGGUGAGCACAGUGCAGGGAUGAAGGAGGGUGGUGAGCACAGUGCAGGGAUGAAGGAGGGUGGU